rnacentral:rRNA from 1 species
GAUGAACGCUAGCGGCAGGCUUAACACAUGCAAGUCGAGGGGCAGCACGGGUAGCAAUACCUGGUGGCGACCGGCGCAAGGGUGCGUAACGCGUGAGCAACAUGCCCUAUACAGGGGGAUAAUCCAGGGAAACUUGGUCUAAUAUCCCAUAGUAUUUAGAGGAGGCAUCUUCUAUAAAUUAAAGCUUCGGUGGUAUAGGAUUGGCUCGCGUGACAUUAGCUAGAUGGUGAGGUAACGGCUCACCAUGGCAAUGAUGUCUAGGGGUUCUGAGAGGAAGGCCCCCCACACUGGGACUGAGACACGGCCCAGACUCCUACGGGAGGCAGCAGUGAGGAAUAUUGGACAAUGGAUGGAAAUCUGAUCCAGCCAUGCCGCGUGCAGGAAGACGGCCCUAUGGGUUGUAAACUGCUUUUAUAUGGGAGCAAUAAGGUUUACGCGUAGACCGAUGAGAGUACCAUAUGAAUAAGCAUCGGCUAA